rnacentral:rRNA from 1 species
UACGUAGGGUGCGAGCGUUGUCCGGAAUUAUUGGGCGUAAAGAGCUCGUAGGCGGUUUGUCGCGUCUGCUGUGAAAACUCGGCGCUUAACUCCGGGCCUGCAGUGGGUACGGGCAGACUAGAGUGCGGUAGGGGAGACUGGAAUUCCUGGUGUAGCGGUGAAAUGCGCAGAUAUCAGGAGGAACACCGGUGGCGAAGGCGGGUCUCUGGGCCGUAACUGACGCUGAGGAGCGAAAGCGUGGGGAGCGAACAGG